CAAUAGCGUAUAUUAAAGUUGUUGCGGUUAAAAAGCUCGUAGUUGGAUUUCUGCCGAGGACGACCGGUCCGCCCUCUGGGUGAGUAUCUGGCUCGGCCUGGGCAUCUUCUUGGAGAACGUAGCUGCACUUGACUGUGUGGUGCGGUAUCCAGGACUUUUACUUUGAGGAAAUUAGAGUGUUUCAAGCAGGCUUACGCCUUGAAUACAUUAGCAUGGAAUAAUAAGAUAGGACCUCGGUUCUAUUUUGUUGGUUUCUAGAGCUGAGGUAAUGAUUAAUAGGGAUAGUUGGGGGCAUUCGUAUUUAACUGUCAGAGGUGAAAUUCUUGGAUUUGUUAAAGACGGACUACCGCGAAAGCAUUUGCCAAGGAUGUUUNCAUUGA
rnacentral:rRNA from 1 species